rnacentral:rRNA from 1 species
UACAGAGGGGGCAAGCGUUGUUCGGAAUUACUGGGCGUAAAGGGCUCGUAGGCGGCCAACUAAGUCAUACGUGAAAUCCCUCAGCUUAACUGGGGAACUGCGUGUGAUACUGGAUGGCUUGGAUUUGGGAGAGGGAUGCGGAAUUCCAGGUGUAGCGGUGAAAUGCGUAGAUAUCUGGAGGAACACCGGUGGCGAAGGCGGCAUCCUGGACCAAUAUUGACGCUGAGGAGCGAAAGCUAGGGGAGCAAACGGG